GAAUAAAACAUAUUUGAGGUGAAAAUAACAAGGCCAUUUCUUCUUCUUCUUUCCGUGAGUUGAGAAAGAAAAUAGAAACCUUUGAGCUUAGGGCAUUCGGCAAAAGAAGGCUUCAAAUAAGACUCAAGAGCAUAGAGGGGCAAUUUUGGAUAAAGAGAAAGUAAACGAAUAGCCGUGGAUAUCUAGUCGUCGACCACUUCCGAGGUUGUGGAUUCUGACUACCAGUUCGGGGAUCAUCAGCACUUCGUCACACUAUCUACCAUUACGGCAACUAUGUAAUUAGACUUAGCUUAUGGCAUGUAUAGGAUA